AGUGAACGCUGGCGGUAGGCCUAACACAUGCAAGUCGAACGGCAGCACAGUAAGAGCUUGCUCUUACGGGUGGCGAGUGGCGGACGGGUGAGGAAUACAUCGGAAUCUACUUUUUCGUGGGGGUAAAGGAGGGAAAAUUAACCUCAUAACGCAUUCGAGCUUAUGGGGAAAAUAAGGGAACCUCGGGACUUGGCGCGUGUGAUGAGGCGAUUUCGGAUUAGCUAGUUGGCGGGGUAAAGGCCCACCAAGGCGACCGUCCGUAGCUGGUCUGAGAGGAUGAACAGCCACACCGGAACUGAGACACGGUCCAGACUCCUACGGGAGGCAGCAGUGGGGAAUAUUGGACAAUGGGCGCAAGCCUGCUCCAGCCAUACCGCGUGGGUGAAGAAGGCCUUCGGGUUGUAAAGCCCUUUUGUUGGGAAAGAAAAGCAGCAGGUUAAUACCCCGCUGUUCUGACGGUACCCAAAGAAUAAGCACCGGCUAACUUCGUG
rnacentral:rRNA from 1 species